AACGUAGGGGGCGAGCGUUGCCCGGAUUCACUGGGCGUAAAGCGCGCGUAGGCGGUCCUUUAAGUCGGAUGUGAAAUCCCACGGCUCAACCGUGGAAUUGCAUCCGAUACUGGAGGACUUGAGGACGGUAGAGGUCGGUGGAAUUCCCGGUGUACCGGUGAAAUGGACAGAUAUCGGGAGGAACACCAGUGGCGAAGGCGGCCGGCUGGGCCGUUCCUGACGCUGAGGCGCGAAAGCCAGGGUAGCGAACCGG
rnacentral:misc_RNA from 1 species